CUUUGAACCUACAGGUUUCGGGGGUGGGGGGGUGGGGGUUAGCUUUUGUGGAACAGGGGGUUUAUGCCAUCUGACAUCCUGAGCCUUACAGCAGAGAAGUUUCUACCCAGUUUUGCUGAAUUAGAUUAGACAAGGAAGACGAGGGGGGGGCAGGUGAGGUGAGGAAUGAGUUAUAGGUGACAACAAGCUCAGGGAGAGGGAGGAUUUGACAAACUGACGAGAGAGAGUCGACUCAAUGCAACAUUUCUCAAUAACUCUUAUGUUAGACUCGCUCGGCUUGUUUAUCAAGGGUGUAAAGACUGUAAUCAUGUGCAACUAUCAUAGUCACAUAAAGAUUGUUUGCCAUUUCCCAAUCAUUAUUUAAAGCAACAGACAUUUUCAUUCCUUAAAAGAAAAAAAAAAAAAUGAACCCUGAAACGUUCUUUGGCUGAUCCAAUAAAACAGGCGAGCUGUUUCCAACGCAGGUCUGAUUUUUGGACGCAAGCUCCAGUAAACAGACACAAGUGCAAACACACAAAAGUGACGGACACACCCAGGAAGUUUGCUUCACUUUUACAGACCUGAUGAAGGAGAGGCCAGUGGACAAAAACAAUACCUAACUUUUUUUUCCAUCAUUGCUGAAGAAAGAAGAUGGCAGCAGGGAGCGGAAAAGAAAAGGAAAAGUAGGUCAGAAGGACUGCAGUGCAGCGCAACAGAGACAAAUGGAUUAUUACUUCACUGUGUGGAGGAAAAAAAACAGCGAACAAAUUAGUGCAAAUUAAUUAAAGCAUAUGGCAUGGACUAAAUUUUUAACUAUGACAGUCUUUCACACUCACACAUGAUACCAAAAUGUUUCUUGGAGCUCAAAAGGAUAUUGACAGAACGAAUACAGAGCGGUGACCUGGAAAUAUAAAACUGAAUUCACCGUCAAUCACAAGCUUCUGCAUUCACACUAAAUAUCCUUAUCAUUCAUGUGUACUCUAUACUUUCUAAACUUUGUCAAAUCUCACUUUUGUUCUGUAAAGGUCACCCACAUGCGUUCUCUUCAGGAGGCACAAGGCUGUCACUGAGAUUAUGGAACAUUAAAGAGAAAAUGUGGAGGUUGAAUGGUGUAGCUGGGGCGCAGACAAUAGAGCAAACCGCGCUCAGGUAGCCACAGUCCAGUGAAACUAUUUGAACGGCACCACCAGCCGAGAGUUCUCCCUCUCUCCCUCUCCUUAUUAUCACGUCCCCAAAUGUACAUACACACAUGCAGAGCGUGGCCUAAUGCUCUGUGAACGGGGCUCAUCUGAAGUUGUAAUGGGUCAGGUAUAAAGGGCUUUUUUGUGCCCAUGUCAAUCUGAAAAAGAGUAUGAAAGCCUAUGAGCAUGCAGAGAAAAUGAGAGGUUUGCUACAAAGAAACAUUCAGCAGGCUAAAAUAAUACAGCCUGGGAAAAAAAAGCCAUUCAGACACUCUCACUUUAGCAUAUGAAUCAUCGUGAAUAAUCAAGUUUCCAGCAGGAGAAAUGGCCUUUAAAUUAGAUAGCAUCAGCUCUAAAAAGUAGACUGAAUAAAUAAGUAGUGAUAAAGAUCUGGGGGGUUGCCUAGUCCAGGUUUUUUUGCGAGGUUCUUUCACAUGUUCAUAAAUGUUCACAGAGGAUGUGGGACAUGUUUCUGUCUGUAAAUAUAAGAGUCAGAAAGCUGCACACCUCAAGAGGACAGACAGGAAACACUCCUAAGAAGUCAAGUUUUGUAAGAGAGGUAAAUAAUGCCAGUAGAAAAGAGAAAAAGAUGUAAAAGAGGAGGAGGAGGAGGAGGAGGAGCAGGAAACGAACUAAACUCUGGUAAACUGCACCUGCAGGGAUCUCCUCCUGUGUAUAAUGAGAGUGUUUAAUGAGUGCACACUGCUUAACGCCUCCGUGUGUGUUUGUGUGUGUGUGUGCAUGCAUGCGUGCUUUGUGCAUGUGACAGAGAGUAAUAAUUGAAUAGAGACACAGUCUUCAUUCCAGCCCCCAGCAUCCACACAGGGGAGGAAAAAAAAAAAAACUCAUGAAUACAUUUGGUGUGUUCGUUACAUCUUUCUGUUGUUGAAGUUGCUCGCUUCCGUUUCUGCAAUAGGUGCUUAGAGUGCCCAUUGACAAACUGGGGGAAUAAUAUUGCAGUUAAGUGGUCUAAUAAAAACGGGAAAUAUGAAUAAUUAAAACAUAUUACUUAAUCUACAUGCAGGUGAAGUACAGCCGUGUGGCAUUGAGGCCUUAAAUACGCGACUGGGGCUGAGUGAGAAUAAGUCUGGAUAUACUACAGGGCUGUCUGCAGGCGUGUGUGUGUGUGUGUGUGUAUCUGUGUAGAUGCAAUGGUGUAAACGAAACGUGCAGCAAGACUUUUGAUGCAAAACAGGAAAACCACUGACAGUGAAAAAAACACAAUUAAAAGCAGGACAAGGUAAUGAGAUGUUUAUUGCUUAAGAGAGCAGGACACAAAGAAAAAAAGGGUAAAGUGAGAAAAGGACAAACGGGAGGGAAAGAGGGCAGGAGAGAAAGAGAAAAGAAGGAGGGGGGUGGGGUGGGGUGGGGGAGGAAGAGAUGAGCGGCUCAAUUUAUCAAACCCCUUUGCUGGGGGAGACUAAUUAAUUUGUUUGUGUGAUUGCUUUUCCGCACCGUGCACAUAUAUCCACACAUUCACACAGACGCAAACACACACAGCACUGUCACCUACCCAACCUGACAGACCUCAGCCCACGUACUCACACACACAAACACUCUCUCUCUCUCUUUUCUUUAUCUUUUCCUGUCUCUCUUUUAAUAUCUGCCCCCCCCGACUAUCUCACUUUCCACUUCCUUGUCUUUGUUUUGUUUUCCUCUCGUUAAUAUCCAUGUUUGUACACUAAAUUAAGCUUCAAUUUGAUCUUUCUCUCCGUGUCUUGCUUUCUAUCGCUUUGCUCCAGAAGUUUGCAGAGUAAACCCAACUGAUAUAUUUUUUUUUUUUACCGCGCAUCACCACAAUAGCAGACGUGAUCAGAGACAGAAACCUUGUACUCCUUCCUCCCAAAAUAUCUCCCAAGGCAUAAAGACAGAGGUGGCAUCAGUGGAGGAUUCACUUGUACAAAAAUGACCCAAUUUUGUGUGAAUGAGGAGAAAAACAAACAUGAUGGUUUGAUUAAGGCAGUGACACGGUUCGUUGUAAACCCAUUUUUUUUCAGGAAACCUAAGAGUGACACAGUUAAUAUGUGUGAGAGUGUGCAGAAGUCUAGAGGCCCCUAAGAAAAGCAAGGUUUUUGCAUUGUUGGUUCUGUUCAACAUUUUAUUCUUCCUGAGGUGGUUAGAGGAAGGCAACAAUACACCCAACUCUCAAUAAUAGACUAUUAACUAUUCGAAGUUGACAAUAAGAACUUUUACAAUAUUUCUGAGGAUGUAACUAACCAAGUUGAUGUUCAAGCUUCAGAAGAAAUCUUCUCUAGACUGCCAUUUCUAUUUUUUUGGCCCAUUUCUGCCUUUAUUGAUGGGACAGUGUGGAAAUGUGGGGAGGUAGAGAGAGAGGGGCACAUGGUCGGGGCUGAAUUUGGUCCCCGUGCAUGGGGCGCACAAACCCGCUCGGCCAUCCAUGCGCCCUAGACUGCUAUCUUUGAUGGUUUUAUUUAGUCUUUUUACUGCCUUACAUCAGGUCUACUUUAUUACCUGUUUUGGUUUUGAGAAGCAAAAAGCUUUUGCUUUGAAAGGAUAAAAAUGGUUCAAGAGUAUUGUAUUUUUCAGACUAUAAGGCGCACUUGAAAUCUAAAUUUUUUUCAAACAUUUACAGUGUGUCUUAUAACCCAGCGCGCCUUAUGCAUGACUACUUGUUGUGCUUACUGACCAAUUUUAGGUGGUACAAUGCGCUCAAAAAUCUGUCGAAAUGUGUAAGUACGACUUUGGUAAGCAACAAUGGAUAUUCGGAACAAUACGGUACGCUGUGUCGCUACCUGAUCGGCCCCGUAACAGGCCUGACUGUAAUGUCUAAACUAGAAGUGCAUUCAUGUAAGGAAGCCUGGGCCCGGAGUAUGCGCUACCAACAAUAAACCAAUCAAUGCUUAAUGUGCCUUACAAUGCGGUGCACCUUAUGAACAUAGACACGUUAAUUCACAGUGCGCCAUAUAAUCUGGUGCGCAUUAUUGCCCCAAAAACUUGAAAAAUAAAAACACUUAAAACAAUCAUUACAGUACAACAGGAUACAAUACAAGAACUUUAUUGAUCCCCAAAAGAAAAUUCAUUGGUAAAAUAUGCUACAUAAAUAACAGUACCCCCACAACCAAAGGGCUCCUAUGGUGUCCUGACUUUGUCUUUCACUUCCCUCUUUUUUCUGUUUCCUGCAAAGCAAGUAUGUUGACUAGAUGCUGCAACCUUGAUUCCAAACAAAGUUGGGAUGUCAUGUAAGAUGUUAAAAAUUAAAAAAAGUUUUUAAAGAUGAGCAUAUGAUUUAUACCCAAUGGGCCGGAUCUACUAAGAUCACAAAUAAUGAGUCCAAAAUUGCAUGUGGAAACUAAAAUUUUGCAAGUGCUAUUAGUGGGCGUGUUGUGGGUGAUCUACUGUGAUUGUGUGUGCAAUUGAUAACAGGUGCCAAAGUGGUGCAGACUGCCCGAUUUAAAUGAGAAUAUUGUGUGCACUACAGUCUGUUACUUUGAAGAGUUUGGGAGAGCAGAGUGGCCGUAAACAAAAAACAAAGCUGGAAGACAUGGAGUUAAGCUUUUUGCUUUGGGGAAGCCAGCAAUUGCAUGAAAGACGUGUUUUGUGUCAUUUACUGCAUCCUGAGUAUAUGGGAACUGAACACACAGUACUUGCCCAUUCUGCAUGAAAAAGCAUUCA
rnacentral:lncRNA from 1 species